rnacentral:rRNA from 1 species
UUAAGCGACUAAGCGUACACGGUGGAUGCCCUGGCAGUCAGAGGCGAUGAAGGACGUGCUAAUCUGCGAUAAGCGCCGGUAAGGUGAUAUGAACCGUUAUAACCGGCGAUUUCCGAAUGGGGAAACCCAGUGUGACUCGUCACACUAUCAUUAACUGAAUCCAUAGGUUAAUGAGGCGAACCGGGGGAACUGAAACAUCUAAGUACCCCGAGGAAAAGAAAUCAACCGAGAUUCCCCCAGUAGCGGCGAGCGAACGGGGAGGAGCCCAGAGCCUGAAUCAGCAUGUGUGUUAGUGGAAGCGUCUGGAAAGGCGCGCGAUACAGGGUGACAGCCCCGUACACAAAAGCGCAUGUGCUGUGAGCUCGAUGAGUAGGGCGGGACACGUGGUAUCCUGUCUGAAUAUGGGGGGACCAUCCUCCAAGGCUAAAUACUCCUGACUGACCGAUAGUGAACCAGUACCGUGAGGGAAAGGCGAAAAGAACCCCGGCGAGGGGAGUGAAAAAGAACCUGAAACCGUGUACGUACAAGCAGUGGGAGCACCCUUUUGGGUGUGACUGCGUACCUUUUGUAUAAUGGGUCAGCGACUUAUAUUCUGUAGCAAGGUUAACCGAAUAGGGGAGCCGGAGGGAAACCGAGUCUUAACCGGGCGUUAAGUUGCAGGGUAUAGACCCGAAACCCGGUGAUCUAGCCAUGGGCAGGUUGAAGGUUGGGUAACACUAACUGGAGGACCGAACCGACUAAUGUUGAAAAAUUAGCGGAUGACCUGUGGCUGGGGGUGAAAGGCCAAUCAAACCGGGAGAUAGCUGGUUCUCCCCGAAAGCUAUUUAGGUAGCGCCUCGUGAAUUCAUCUCCGGGGGUAGAGCACUGUUUCGGCUAGGGGGCCAUCCCGGCUUACCAACCCGAUGCAAACUGCGAAUACCGGAGAAUGUUAUCACGGGAGACACACGGCGGGUGCUAACGUCCGUCGUGAAGAGGGAAACAACCCAGACCGCCAGCUAAGGUCCCAAAGUCAUGGUUAAGUGGGAAACGAUGUGGGAAGGCCCAGACAGCCAGGAUGUUGGCUUAGAAGCAGCCAUCAUUUAAAGAAAGCGUAAUAGCUCACUGGUCGAGUCGGCCUGCGCGGAAGAUGUAACGGGGCUAAACCAUGCACCGAAGCUGCGGCAGCGACACUAUGUGUUGUUGGGUAGGGGAGCGUUCUGUAAGCCUGUGAAGGUGGCCUGUGAGGGUUGCUGGAGGUAUCAGAAGUGCGAAUGCUGACAUAAGUAACGAUAAAGCGGGUGAAAAGCCCGCUCGCCGGAAGACCAAGGGUUCCUGUCCAACGUUAAUCGGGGCAGGGUGAGUCGACCCCUAAGGCGAGGCCGAAAGGCGUAGUCGAUGGGAAACGGGUUAAUAUUCCCGUACUUGGUGUUACUGCGAAGGGGGGACGGAGAAGGCUAUGUUGGCCGGGCGACGGUUGUCCCGGUUUAAGCGUGUAGGCUGGUUUUCCAGGCAAAUCCGGAAAAUCAAGGCUGAGGCGUGACGACGAGGCACUACGGUGCUGAAGCAACAAAUGCCCUGCUUCCAGGAAAAGCCUCUAAGCAUCAGGUAACAUCAAAUCGUACCCCAAACCGACACAGGUGGUCAGGUAGAGAAUACCAAGGCGCUUGAGAGAACUCGGGUGAAGGAACUAGGCAAAAUGGUGCCGUAACUUCGGGAGAAGGCACGCUGACAUGUAGGUGAAGUGAUUUACUCAUGGAGCUGAAGUCAGUCGAAGAUACCAGCUGGCUGCAACUGUUUAUUAAAAACACAGCACUGUGCAAACACGAAAGUGGACGUAUACGGUGUGACGCCUGCCCGGUGCCGGAAGGUUAAUUGAUGGGGUCAGCGCAAGCGAAGCUCCUGAUCGAAGCCCCGGUAAACGGCGGCCGUAACUAUAACGGUCCUAAGGUAGCGAAAUUCCUUGUCGGGUAAGUUCCGACCUGCACGAAUGGCGUAAUGAUGGCCAGGCUGUCUCCACCCGAGACUCAGUGAAAUUGAACUCGCUGUGAAGAUGCAGUGUACCCGCGGCAAGACGGAAAGACCCCGUGAACCUUUACUAUAGCUUGACACUGAACAUUGAGCCUUGAUGUGUAGGAUAGGUGGGAGGCUUUGAAGUGUGGACGCCAGUCUGCAUGGAGCCGACCUUGAAAUACCACCCUUUAAUGUUUGAUGUUCUAACGUGGACCCGUGAUCCGGGUUGCGGACAGUGUCUGGUGGGUAGUUUGACUGGGGCGGUCUCCUCCUAAAGAGUAACGGAGGAGCACGAAGGUUGGCUAAUCCUGGUCGGACAUCAGGAGGUUAGUGCAAUGGCAUAAGCCAGCUUGACUGCGAGCGUGACGGCGCGAGCAGGUGCGAAAGCAGGUCAUAGUGAUCCGGUGGUUCUGAAUGGAAGGGCCAUCGCUCAACGGAUAAAAGGUACUCCGGGGAUAACAGGCUGAUACCGCCCAAGAGUUCAUAUCGACGGCGGUGUUUGGCACCUCGAUGUCGGCUCAUCACAUCCUGGGGCUGAAGUAGGUCCCAAGGGUAUGGCUGUUCGCCAUUUAAAGUGGUACGCGAGCUGGGUUUAGAACGUCGUGAGACAGUUCGGUCCCUAUCUGCCGUGGGCGCUGGAGAACUGAGGGGGGCUGCUCCUAGUACGAGAGGACCGGAGUGGACGCAUCACUGGUGUUCGGGUUGUCAUGCCAAUGGCACUGCCCGGUAGCUAAAUGCGGAAGAGAUAAGUGCUGAAAGCAUCUAAGCACGAAACUUGCCCCGAGAUGAGUUCUCCCUGAGACUUAAAGUCUCCUGAAGGAACGUUGAAGACGACGACGUUGAUAGGCCGGGUGUGUAAGCGCAGCGAUGCGUUGAGCUAACCGGUACUAAUGAACCGUGAGGCUUAACCUU